rnacentral:lncRNA from 1 species
CACUUGGUCAUUGCACAAGGAAGUGGGCAAAGAAAACCCCACAGAUUAAUAACUGAAGAUAGUAAAUAUCUUCCACAUUUAUUAACAACAGUCUGCUCAUUGUUGCUGGCCUACCCUAGCCUUACCUUCAGCAGGAGAGGUGGGUUUACCCUCUGAAUGCUGAAGACAGAUCUUGGGGAAUCCCCAGAGAUGGAGAACAGGGAGCCUCGGGUAGAGGAGUGGCUCGAGCCUAAGGGCGUCUCCUGAGGACUAAGGAAGAACACAGAUGGGGAUUUCUUCCUGGAAGCAGGGGUCAAUUCAGUGCUAAAUACCCAAGUCAGAGAAGCAGCAGGAAAGAAGACAGCUCAAGGGGAUGCAGCACAAGGACAGGGGAGUAAGUAGAGCUCAUGGAUGGUUCUGAGCUGCUCUUUUAAGAAGUCUCAAAAGGCAGCCAGAAGGGAGAGUCAAGGUUCUGGACAAGCUUAGGGAAUCAGAAAUAUUUUUGGCCAUUUUGGAAAAUUCAGUCCACCACUAUAAGAUCUACCUUUGGAAGGCUUGGGUCUGGGAUGCAGGAAGGAUUCAAAAGGAAGAGAUGACUGUAACGCCUGGCCCUGAAACUGUUCACCCUCAAGGCAUUUCCCAUCUGAUUCCAUUGGUUUCUGGACAGUGAGUCACACAUUGCGGGUAAAAGCUGUUUCGAGACUCGUUCUUCUCUGUCUUCCUCUCUGUCCUCUGUUGCCCCUCACUUAUUCCCUCACCUCCGCCUUCUGCACAGGACAUCCCCUUUGGAGUCCCACAGUGUCCUAUGCGCAUCCCUCUCCUUGGGCUUACUAUUCCCAACUGUAAUAUUCUGGCUAUUGCCCAUUGCUGGUACUUCCUUCUCCUUUUUCUCAUGUUUUUGUGACUGGCUAACUUUUCUCCUGGGUGACACAUUGUCUCUAAGGGGUUUAAUGCAUUCAAGUUUUCUUGGCUUGGGAACCACCGAUCUUUUCAAGGUGCAUUCAAGGUGACUUUAGUGCAGUUCUGAUUUGGAAAACACUGCAGCCUGGAACAGAAGGGCCCCUGCUCAGGUGCCUGCCCUUGGAGAAGCUGCGCGCGCAGCAGGAGCCUGUUUCUCCUGAGACGUCUCUUCUGCGCCAUCUGCCGACAGAGUUGAACAUCGCGCCAGCCGGCAAAGGAAAAAUAAACUCUCACAGUCAACCAAAAGGUUGAAGUGGGUGCUGUGACAAUGAACCCAAAGCCCACAGAAGAUAAACCCUGGCCAUCUCUAAUCUUCACUCCUGCAGCAUUUUCUUUAUAAGCCUCACAGUUAUUCAGCCUCUAGCUUUACUACCCUCAAAAUUGUUGACAAAGGUCUGGGACACCCAGAAAACGGAGGUGAGGCUGUGUUGCCAAACUCAAUUUUUAGAAACAAACCUCGCAGUCUUACUACUUUGCUUAGUAUCCUAGCAUGCCUCCUCACUAAAAAGACUUCGUGUUUCUACUUCUGAGUUUCUUCUUUUAUUCCCAGAUCUAUACAGACACAUAAAACCCAGAUCUGUUCCAUGCUUGUCUUGUUAUCCCUUUUAAUCGCCCGCCGAUCUGCCUUCUCGACAUCCCCCUCAACUACGGGUUCCUCAAACAGGAACCCUAAUGGGCUCAUUCUAAUUCUAUUCUAGAUAAAGCCACACCCUUCCUUAUUUUCUCCCAAAACUUUGAACUCCACCUGUUCCCCCUCCCCAAUGUCCUGUGCAGGCAUUUCUGUGGAAUUCAGUGCUGUUUCUGGCGCGGUUCUCACCACAGUCGUUCAUUCGCCACAUUGUUAAGUUUGAGGCCAGAGAACUCCUCUCAUUCCAUUUUGUAUUUCGAGUACAUGACACAUGGCUGGGCACGUCGGAAGCUG